rnacentral:rRNA from 1 species
UACGGGGGGGGCAAGCGUUGUUCGGAAUUACUGGGCGUAAAGGGCGCGUAGGCGGCCUUCUAAGUCGGACGUGAAAUCCCUCGGCUUAACCGAGGAACUGCGUCCGAUACUGAAAGGCUUGAAUCCGGGAGAGGGAUGUGGAAUUCCAGGUGUAGCGGUGAAAUUCGUAGAUAUUCGGAAGAACACCAGUGGCGAAGGCGGCUCACUGGACCGGUAUUGACGCUGAGGUGCGAAAGCGUGGGGAGCAAACAGG